rnacentral:rRNA from 1 species
CACCCAACAGCUAGCCCACCCAAAAAGCACAACAAACCCUAUAAAUAACCCCAAACACACAAAUACUCACACAACAAACCAUUUUUCCUCCCAAGUAUUGGCGACAGAAAAGGAACCACGGAGCAACAGAAAAAGUACCGUAAGGGAACGCUGAAAGAGAAAUGAAAUAAACCAGUAAAGUUUCAAAAAGCAGAGAUUCAAUCUCGUACCUUUUGCAUCAUGUUUUAGCUAGUAAAUUUCAAGCAAAGAGAACUUUAGUUUGCCACCCCGAAACUAAGUGAGCUACUCCAAGCUAGCCUGUCAAUGGGGCAAACCCGUCUCUGUGGCAAAAGAGUGGGAAAAGCUUCGAGUAGAGGUGACAAACCUACCGAACUUAGUUAUAGCUGGUUGCUUGAGACCUGGAUAGAAGUUCAGCCUCCUGAUUUCUUCACCCGCUUCUGCCUAAGCUGGCUCAGGCCAAGAGAAAUCAAGAGAGUUAGUUAAAGGAGGUACAGCUCCUUUAAAUUAAGACACAACUUUUUCAGGAGGGUAAAGAUCAUAAUCAUUUAAGGUAAGAUGUUUUAGUGGGCCUAAAAGCAGCCAUCUAAAAGAAAGCGUUAAAGCUCAGACAUCUCUUUUCCUCUAAUCCCGAUAACAUAUCUCAACCCCCUAAUUAUAUCAAACCUCCUCAUGCAAACAUGAGGGCGAUCCUGCUAAUAUGAGUAAUAAGAGAGAACAUCUCUCUCCUCGCACAGGUGUAAAUCGGAACGGAACACCCACCGAACAUUACCGGUCCCAAACAAAGAGGGUAUUGAACAACAAACUAAACAACCAGAAAACCCCCCAACAACCAACCGUUAAACCUACACUGGUGUGCUAACAAGGAAAGACUAAAAGAAAAAGAAGGAACUCGGCAAACACAAGCCUCGCCUGUUUACCAAAAACACCGCCUCUUGCAAAAAUAAAGAAUAAGAGGUCCCGCCUGCCCUGUGACAGAUGUUUAACGGCCGCGGUAUUUUGACCGUGCAAAGGUAGCGCAAUCACUUGUCUUUUAAAUGAAGACCUGUAUGAAUGGCAUAACGAGGGCUUAACUGUCUCCUUUUUCAAGUCAAUAAAAUUGAUCUUCCCGUGCAGAAGCGGGAAUAAAACCAUAAGACGAGAAGACCCUAUGGAGCUUUAGACACCAAAGCAGAUCUUGUUAAACACCCAAAACAAAGGAUUUAAACCAAAAGAAUGCUGCCCUAAUGUCUUUGGUUGGGGCGACCGCGGGGAAACAAAUAACCCCCAUGUGGACUGAGAUAACCCCUCUUACAACUAAGAGCCACACCUCUAAUUAACAGAAUUUCUGACCUUAUGAUCCGGCAACGCCGAUCAACGGACCGAGUUACCCUAGGGAUAACAGCGCAAUCCUCUUUUAGAGCCCAUAUCGACAAGAGGGUUUACGACCUCGAUGUUGGAUCAGGACAUCCUAAUGGUGCAGCCGCUUUUAAGGGUUCGUUUGUUCAACGAUUAAAGUCCU